rnacentral:tRNA from 1 species
UCCCUCAUAGCUCAGUCGGUAAAGCAUCCGCCUGCAAUGCAGGAAACCCAGGUUUAAUUCCUGGGUGGGGAA